UCGUAACUCGGUCUGCGGGCGCAGUGUCGCUCCGUCCCGCGCGCAGACCGGUCCGCAAUGCCGCUCUGACACCUCGCGCCAGCUGUCAAACUCGCCGUCAACAACUGUCAAACUUGAACGAACUGUCAAAGUGCUAAAACAUGUGGCUCGUGUGGAGUUGUCUUUUCGCCAGCGCGCUGCUGGUUCCAGCGCGGGCACAGGAUGCAGACGAAAACAGCGAAUUCUCGCCGGUCGUGAACGCGACGUGCAAGACCGGCAUCAUGUCUAUCAGGAUUACAUUCAACCAGCCUUUCAAUGGUGUCGUCCAUUCCAAAGAAUUUAGAUCACCGGCAUGUAAAAUGCAAGGCAACGGAACGAAUACUGUAACGCUUGAUAUCAACAUGAUGGCUCCGAAAGGCUCACCGGACUACUGCGGAGUUUUAUGGAAUAAUCGAACUGAAGAAAGAUCAUUGCCUCUAGCUGUGCGUGUGCAUAGGACAUUAGAGUUAGCUGAUGAUAAAAUGUUCUUCAUCACUUGUGGAAAAGCUGGUUUCAGGAAUUCAAGAAACGAGACUUCCCUUGUAUCGCUUCGUAUGCUCAAUCAAGAUGGGCGCAAAGUGACGAACGUAGCCUUUACCUUACCGUACACACUUCGAGCUGAAUUGAGUAAAUCUGACGGAACGCACGGGAUCAGAAUGAAGAAUUGCUUCGCAUUCAACAUGCGUAAUAAUACAGUGGAUCUCCUAGACAGCAGGGGAUGUCCACUGAAGCAGGAAUCGGUGGUGGUGAAGUCCCAAAACGGCGCGACGGAGCUGGCGAUAGCGUCCAUGUUCCGUUUCCCGGACUCCUCGCAAGUCAACUUUCAGUGCGAUAUUGCUAUUUGCAAAGGUAGCUGCGCACCAGUAGACUGCUCGGCUGAUGCGCGUGGCGAGCCGAACGACGAGGAGGCCCUCGUCACUUCUUCCACGGGAAUAUUCGUUUUCGAUCCGAAUGAUAAUGCAGUUCUGAAGUGCGCGGAGACGGGCAUCAGGCCGCUGUGGCUGCUGUACCUGGCCAUCGCGCUGGGCGUUAUGUUCCUGGUCAUGCUGCUCAUCAACUGCUUCCUCUGCACCGCCAUGACCUGCUCCUGCGCCCGGACUGACGUUAUCGAGAAAGACCCAUCAGUUGUGGAAGACUACGACCCUUACCGUAGCUGGCACGGCAGUCAGUACGGAAGCAGGUACCCAUCUUCAACCAUUCAUUCAGCGAGGUAAGGAGGGUCACUCAGUCUGCCCUGAUGUAGAUGCUUGGUAUCAUAAUGCAUGCAGAGAUCGGUUUCCGACAAUAGUGACCAUUACGCGAUAGUGCAGUCUCGGCCAGGCAGCCGCCACUCGGGCAUGCACCGCGCCAGGCACUAAGCUAAACGAACUACCACAACUAAUUGAACUAGAAAAAAAGAAANAAAAGAAGAAGGAUAAAUACAAAACCAAUAAUCUGGGGUUUCGCCACCUUUUUGGAUGGGAAACUACUCGAUCUUAUUUCUAAUUCCCUGCAACAUUCAGCAAAUAUUUUAAAAACAAAAGAUGUCGCUCUGAUAUUGCUCCAUGUGUGCAGAAAUUACAAUAAUAAGUAGGUAAUAGUGUUUUGAUAGCAAUAACUUUACAAUAUACACUAUAUUCCUUAAUGUUACCUGUAAAAUAUCUCGUUACAAUUUUGAAAUGAAUUUAACUUGUGCCAUCCAUGUGUGUACCUUGUGAGACCGUAGAGUCUUAUGCCUUUGAAUGUUUGAAAGAAAUUCAAACUUAAACUGAACGAUGCAACGAAUCCGUCCCUUUUAAUAGUAAAUGUAAGUACUUAUAAAUAAAAUGUGAUAGUCGGCUUGACAAUUUUAUUAUCAUCCUCUUAUAUUAAUUUGAAAACGUUGACCUCGGAAAGGGGGUAGAUUAUCUUUUUUAUCGUAGAAAAAAGCCGGCUAACCACCUAAAUAGCAUAGUAAAAUUUCAAAUAAUAAAUUGAUAAGAGUAACAUAGAAAUGCAGUCGAUUAUGACUUAAUUUAUGUUUGUAAUAAUAAAAUAAUAAAAACUGAUUAAUACAAUCGUGUUGCUGAAUACGUAUUUCCGUAGAGAUGUUUACUGGCAUCGUUAAUUUAGUUAAUUUGUUUUUUCUUCCUUUUAUUAACGGCCAGUUUACAUUUUAUCAACUGUAGAGUGAGAAGAAAACAUUUUUUGUCGAAUUUCAAACUACGAGUAUAGUAUAGAGAAAAAAACAUAAAUACGUUGAUAUAGAAAUUCAACUAAAAUAAUAUGUUUUUAGUUAGUAAUCCCUAUCUUUCUUUUUCAAAGUAUAGGUUCCGUACGUUUAUAAUUUAAAUUAAGAGUAUCACUUUGAUCACCAACGCGAAAAUUCGCCUACUUAAAUAAAAAGAUUUAACUAACAAUAUUGAAUAAAUAAAAGGUUCUGUUUUGAAUUGUCUCAACCACCCUUAACAUUCAGCCGAAUUAUUGCUUGGUGAUCGAAAAUGUUAAAACUCUACAAUUAAGUAUCCUAAUUACUACUUAGUAGUUACUAUUAUAAAAUGUACCACAUCAUCUUAACUGUGAAUAAUAUGUAAUUAUAAUGUUACUUUGGAGUGACGUUUAGUUAAGAACGUGUGUUGAUUUGUAAAAAUAAUUAAUAAGUGAGUGAGUGUUUAGUAAUGUAUUAUAAUAGUAGUAGUUAUUGACCGUUAACUGGUUUCUAUAAAAGUAUUUUGAUUAUUUUGAAAAUGUAUGCAAAAGAAUCUCUUGUUGACCAAACCGUAUUAAGUCUUAGACAUGAAACGAAACUGAAUUGAACAAUUUAUUAGUAAGAUCAAGCCUCUUACAUGCAAGUU